rnacentral:lncRNA from 1 species
GUCUGAGGCAGAUGGCUUGGAGUCCUUCACUUCAUCAUUUAAAGUCAGAAUAGAAUAUUACAGGUCAGUUGAAUACUGUCUAAAGUGGGAAGGACCCAUGCAUCUCAGGCACUCCUCCAAAUUAGCAAAGGGCUCCAACAAGAGCCCCAGAAAAAAAAACAGCCCAGAUGAAGAUGGUAUCAAGCACAAGGUGGUGGAGAAGAAACCAAGGACAGGAAUGAGGAGGACUAAAUCUAGCAACGGUGUAGUUCAUGCAAAAGAAAGACACCUCAUCAGCAGCCCACAUGAAACUGAUGGUGUGGUCGAGGAAGAGAUCCUUGAUCAGGGACUGGAUGAGUGGGAUGAUGACUGUGCUUCUGUCUCUAGCAGCAUAAGUUCUGGUCCCUCCCUCUAUUAUCCUGCUAGGCUCUCACAGGACCUGUGCUCUGCAUGUCAGAAGCUCUAUCAGAAGGCAAGGAGAAUGAAAGCUCCACUUAAAAACAAACUCUUGGAUAAUGAUCCCAAAUCAUUGACAUGUGACCAGUGGGUCCUGAUCAAAAACAGAAGGCUGGCAAGGAUGUCUGAUGCAGGCGGGAAGCUUUUGAUCUCCCUCCAGCGGGUCAAAAAAAGACUUCGAGGCAAAAAAGUGAAGCAACAUGAGCAGCCACCAGCCUGCUCAAGACCACAUAUUUACCUGGAAAGGAACCUGAGGCGACGUGUGCCCUUGAAAAAGGAGAGGAAGACAAACAAAAGGAGGAAGAGGACAAGAGAUGAUUCUCAAGGUUCCCGUGUUGCUAAGCAGCAGCGUCUCCAAAGCAACGUCCGCGGCCAACACAUCAGCUCAGUCAAUGACAGUUGUUAUUCAGCCAGCACACAAAACGACAUGAAUGAGUUGGAGGACUACAGUGAUCAAGAUACCAGCUCAGCAGGACCCUCCUCUGUCAUCAACCCCACCACCACAGAGCUCCCAUCAAAGCAGACAAAGUCACAAACAUUUCAGAGGGGAUUCAGAGAGUUGCUUCUCCAACUGCGUGGCAACAGCAGCAAUAUAGUCAGAGAACCACAUUAGAGAAAAGACUAGCUUCUUUUUUUGUUCUAGCUCUAGGAGUAAGUAUUGAGUUCUCAUUAUAUUUACUCAACAAGAAUUUAAGUGUUUUCACAUUAUUGUGCUGUUAUGAAAUGAAGUUAUUCAGGGUUUGGGUGUUGUUGUUUUGUUUUAUUCUUCUUAAUUAAAGGCACUUUUAAGCAUACUGUUUCAAAUUGUUUGCUU